AGACGUCGCCACAGGCACGCGUACUCGCAACAGGACGACUGCCCGUGCUUGUGCUCGUGACAGUUCGCUCGUGUGUGAGCAGCCUUAGCAACAUCAAGAGGUGUCACCGAUCUGAACCCUCAACUAGACACUAGAGGCUUCUGAAUCAAAGCAGGGAAACUGUGAUGAUUGUGAAAAAAGUACAACGAUCUUGGAAAAAGGAGCACGUGGAGAGUGCACUUUUGUGCGCACAGUUGCGGUAAUUGGUGCGUUCCUUUGUUGUUGAAAUGAUUAGCCUGUAAGUUCCUAAACUCUAGCCCGUAUGUACCUACUGUUAAGAAUUAAUAUAAUUAGCGGACGACUUCGGCAAGGGAAUGUAUUAUCGAACUGCGAAAAUUCCCUUGAGGCUAAUAAACACUCCACCAGAGUGGUGAUGAUGAAGCAAAUCAUUUAAUGAGUAAUCCGAAUGCUUUCUUAAUGCUUUAAACACAUUUUCGUAUUUAAUUUAUUGUUUAACCGUUUUCUCAACUUAAUUGUGAUUGUAUACUGCUUUAUUGGUCAUGUGAUGUUUAUCUAUUAAAGAGUAAUUAUUUGAA